GUCAGUGUGGUGUAGUGGUUUGAACACUGGACUAUGGCUCUGGACCAGGGUUUGAUUCCUGCUCAGACA